rnacentral:lncRNA from 1 species
AAAACAGUUUCUGGGUUAAAACCUAAAUUUUAUGGGUUAAAAAUCUUAAGUUUUAACCCAAGAGUUGGAAAAUACAUACAUGUUGUAGUCCUAAUUAGGUUAGGAAUGUGAUUGUGUAAAUUCUAUUAAAUCUUUACGGGAUUGUAUCAUAUUUGUAGAAUUCUCAGAGAGAUGGGUCGAGAGCCCCACUUCCAACAACAUCUAUAUUGUCCCCAACUUAGUAAUUAUCACAUGCCCAAUCCGUCAGGUGUGAAGUUUUAUCACAAAAGGUCUCAGUGUUAGUUACAGUCAAAUAAUCAUAUUUAAACUCUUCUUUCUUCUUUCCUCUAAGAGAUGUUGGAUAGCCAACACCCCCUACGUGGAACCCCAAUUAGUGGGUCGCACAUGGAAGAUCAACGCAUCGGAAACUACGUGAAACCAAGUCGGGACUCACCCAACACAUGGGGCCAAAGGGGACACCCAAUCAAGUGGCAGUACAGGAUCGUCCCUUAGCUUUGCUACCAUGUAGAAUUUUCAGAUAGAAAGGUCGGGGGCUCACUUCCGACAACACCGAUAUUGUUUCCAACUUGGUAAUUACCACCUGGCCAAUCUGUUAGGUACAUAGUUUUAUCACAAAAGGCCUCGGUGUUAAAUAGAGUGGGAUAAUCAUACUUAAACUCUUCUUUCUUCAUCCUCUGAAUAUAUGGGAUAGCCAACAAUAUCUCUAGAUAUUAUUCUAUUAGAGUUGUAAGCCUAUUAGGGUAAGGAAUUUACCUUCCCUACUACUAUAAAUUACACACAUAGUUCACCCAAUUCUCUCUAUGCUUGAUGCACCCUCUCCCCAUAACUUUCUAGUUAAAUAGGCCGUCCAACCAGUCAUUAGCACGCCUUUGAUGUUACGCUAAAGGGAGUUUGUUCUUCAAUCAAAUGAAUAUUACAUUUUGAAUAUUAUUUUUAUGAUUAACUUAUUAUUUUAUUGAAAUUAUAUACUUUUAUUAAUUCAAUUUAUGUUUUCAGUAUUGAACGUAACAACACAUUAGAGAUGAAAUUCCGGCUUUCCGAAAAAGAUCUUCUACAAAUUCAAAGGCUCAAUUUCGUUUUCUGCUAAUCAAGUUUGUUUGUACCAUACUUGACCAAUCCCGAAACUACUGAGCAUCGGUCAACGUUAUACCGUCAAGGACCCAGAAAAGUUUCCCUCCAACCUGGAGGCCAAUCACAGCG